rnacentral:piRNA from 1 species
UGAUGGGAAGCCAAGAAGAAUUGGGUGU